rnacentral:rRNA from 1 species
AACGAACGCUGGCGGCAGGCCUAACACAUGCAAGUCGAGCGAGGACUUCGGUCCUAGCGGCGGACGGGUGAGUAACGCGUGGGAACGUGCCCUUUGCUACGGAAUAGCCCCGGGAAACUGGGAGUAAUACCGUAUGUGCCCUUUGGGGGAAAGAUUUAUCGGCAAAGGAUCGGCCCGCGUUGGAUUAGGUAGUUGGUGGGGUAAUGGCCUACCAAGCCGACGAUCCAUAGCUGGUUUGAGAGGAUGAUCAGCCACACUGGGACUGAGACACGGCCCAGACUCCUACGGGAGGCAGCAGUGGGGAAUCUUAGACAAUGGGCGCAAGCCUGAUCUAGCCAUGCCGCGUGAGCGAUGAAGGCCUUAGGGUUGUAAAGCUCUUUCAGUGGGGAAGAUAAUGACGGUACCCACAGAAGAAGCCCCGGCUAACUCCGUGCCAGCCGCCGCGGUAAUAC